GUGCUUACACAUGCAAGUCGAACGAUGAACCACUUCGGUGGGGAUUAGUGGCGAACGGGUGAGUAACACGUGGGCAAUCUGCCCUUCACUCUGGGACAAGCCCUGGAAACGGGGUCUAAUACCGGAUACCACUCCCGCAGGCAUCUGUGGGGGUUGAAAGCUCCGGCGGUGAAGGAUGAGCCCGCGGCCUAUCAGCUUGUUGGUGAGGUAAUGGCUCACCAAGGCGACGACGGGUAGCCGGCCUGAGAGGGCGACCGGCCACACUGGGACUGAGACACGGCCCAGACUCCUACGGGAGGCAGCAGUGGGGAAUAUUGCACAAUGGGCGAAAGCCUGAUGCAGCGACGCCGCGUGAGGGAUGACGGCCUUCGGGUUGUAAACCUCUUUCAGCAGGGAAGAAGCGAAAGUGACGGUACCUGCAGAAGAAGCGCCGGCUAACUACGUGCCAGCAGCCGCGGUAAUACGUAGGGCGCAAGCGUUGUCCGGAAUUAUUGGGCGUAAAGAGCUCGUAGGCGGCUUGUCACGUCGGGUGUGAAAGCCCGGGGCUUAACCCCGGGUCUGCAUUCGAUACGGGCUAGCUAGAGUGUGGUAGGGGAGAUCGGAAUUCCUGGUGUAGCGGUGAAAUGCGCAGAUAUCAGGAGGAACACCGGUGGCGAAGGCGGAUCUCUGGGCCAUUACUGACGCUGAGGAGCGAAAGCGUGGGGAGCGAACAGGAUUAGAUACCCUGGUAGUCCACGCCGUAAACGGUGGGAACUAGGUGUUGGCGACAUUCCACGUCGUCGGUGCCGCAGCUAACG
rnacentral:rRNA from 1 species